GUGGAUGACCUGGGUUGACCCACUUUGACCGGUCUCUAGUCAGCUAUUUUUUUCCGAAAUCACUGCAGCGUGACAGGGAAGGUCGAUGGUACAAAUUCUUGUUCGGAUCUACGAAAUUAUACUGGAUUACAUUAUAAAAUGAAGUUCACGUUUAAGGAAGAGAAUACAUUUGAAACCCGUAAAUGUGAGUCGGAUAAAAUACGUUCCAAGUAUCCUGAUAGAAUUCCAGUUGUGGUUCAGAAGGCUCCAAGAAGCAACAUCCCGGAGAUAGACAAAGAGCAAUUUCUUGUCCCCAGUGACCUUUCAGUGGCUCAGUUUAUGUAUAUCAUCAGGAAGAGGAUUGAGCUUCCUCCCGAGAGGAACCUCUUCCUUUUUGUGAAUAAAGUUUUACCAACAACAAGUGCCACCAUGGGAAGUAUCUAUGAAGAACACAAAGACGAGGAUGGCUUCCUUUAUGUAGCUUACAGCGGAGAAAACACAUUUGGCUGAGACGAGGCCCAGUAUUCUCCAUGGCCUGUUUUUAUAUGGCACUACACCUUAUUGAGCUUGUGCCAUCUUAUUAGGUGAGGCAAAGACAGAGGUACCAGCAGUCAAAAACUCAACGGACAUUAGUGCUCCUUGGUUGCAGGAGUGAGUGUGGCUUCGGCAUGAACCAAAGGAACGGCAGAGAAGACACCGAGCUGCUGCGUGGGGGAAAUUAUACAAACUGAAAGCCCUAGGAUUUUGAAUUGAGUAAAAUUUCACACUUAUAGCUAGGGUGUUAGAAACAGUGGAAUAUCUCAGCUAAUAACUGAAGCACUUAAUUAGACUUGAUGUUUUCGUUUUGAGAAAUAAAUUUCAAAUCAUGUGAGAUAUAUACA
rnacentral:misc_RNA from 1 species